UACGUAGGGGGCAAGCGUUGUCCGGAAUCAUUGGGCGUAAAGCGCGUGUAGGCGGUUCAGUAAGUCUGCUGUGAAAGUCCAGGGCUCAACCCUGGGAUGCCGGUGGAUACUGCUGGGCUAGAGUACGGAAGAGGCGAGUGGAAUUCCCGGUGUAGCGGUGAAAUGGCGCAGAUAUCAGGAAGAACACCCGUGGCUAAGGCGGCUCUCUAGUACGGUACUGACGCUGAGACGCGAAAGCGUGGGGAGCGAACAGG
rnacentral:rRNA from 1 species